UACGGGGGGGCAAGCGUUGUUCGGAAUUAUCUGGCGUAAAGGGCUCGUAGGCGGCCAACUAAGUCGGAUGUGAAAUCCCCAAGCUUAACUUGGGAACUGCAUCCGAUACUGGAUGGCUUGAAUCCGGGAGAAGGGAUGCAGAAGUUCCAGGGUGAUGAGCGGUGGAAAUGCGUAGAUAUCGUGGAGGAAUACCGGUGGCGAAGGCGGCAUCUGGACCGGCAGUUGACGCUGAGGAGCGAAAGCUAGGGAGCGAACGGGG
rnacentral:rRNA from 1 species